ACCAAGGCGAUGAUCAGUAGGGGAACUGAGAGGUUGAUCCCCCACACUGGCACUGAGAUACGGGCCAGACUCCUACGGGAGGCAGCAGUAGGGAAUAUUGGUCAAUGGAUGCAAGUCUGAACCAGCCAUGCCGCGUGCAGGAAGAAGGCCUUCUGGGUUGUAAACUGCUUUUGCCAGGGGAUAAAACGAGCAUGCGUGCUUAAUUGAAGGUACCUGGUGAAUAAGCCACGGCUAACUACGUGCCAGCAGCCGCGGUAAUA
rnacentral:rRNA from 1 species